AAUGAACGCUGGCGGCAUGCCUAAUACAUGCAAGUCGAACGAGACCAUCGGGUCUUGUGUCCUAUGACUUUGUAACGCGAGGGAAGAUUCCCACGUGUUCGGCCUACCUAUACGACAGGGGUACCAUUACCGGACCGUGUCUAAUGCCCAAAAAUAUAUUGCACUUGGUUGGUCACUCGUUGGAUUCGCUAGUUGGUAGGGUAAAAGACUACUAAGGCGACGAUCAAUAGCUGGUCAGAGAGACUGGUCAGCCACACUGAGACUGAGACCCGGCCCAGACUCCUACGGGAUGCAGCAGUGGGGAAUAUUGCACAAUGGGCGAAAGCCUGAUCCAGCAAUGCCGCGUGAGUUAUGAAGUCCUUAGAGUUGUAAAGCUCUUUUACCCGGGAUGAUAAUGACAGUACCGGGAGAAUAAGCUCCGGCUAACUCCGUG
rnacentral:rRNA from 1 species